rnacentral:rRNA from 1 species
CCUACGGGGGGCUGCAGUGAGGAAUUUUCCGCAAUGGGCGAAAGCCUGACGGAGCAAUGUCGCGUGGAGGAAGAAGGCCCGUGGGUCGUAAACUCCUUUUGUCAAAGAAGAAAAAAUGACGGUAUUUGACGAAUAAGCAUCGGCUAACCCUGUGCCAGCAGCCGCGGUAAUACAGGGGAUGCAAGCGUUAUCCGGAAUUAUUGGGCGUAAAGGGUCCUGAGGUGGCUAUCCAAGUCUAUUGUGAAAUAUCAGGGCUUAACCCUGAACAUGCGGUG